rnacentral:rRNA from 1 species
UACGUAGGGUGCAAGCGUUGUCCGGAAUUAUUGGGCGUAAAGAGCUCGUAGGCGGUUCGUCGCGUCGGCUGUGAAAACCCGGAGCUCAACUCCGGGCCUGCAGUCGAUACGGGCGGACUAGAGUUCGGCAGGGGAGACUGGAAUUCCUGGUGUAGCGGUGAAAUGCGCAGAUAUCAGGAGGAACACCGGUGGCGAAGGCGGGUCUCUGGGCCUGUACUGACGCUGAGGAGCGAAAGCGUGGGGAGCGAACAGG